rnacentral:rRNA from 1 species
ACGGGAGGCAGCAGUGGGGAAUUUUGGACAAUGGGCGCAAGCCUGAUCCAGCCAUGCCGCGUGUCUGAAGAAGGCCUUCGGGUUGUAAAGGACUUUUGUCAGGGAAGAAAAGGGCGGGGUUAAUACCCCUGUCUGAUGACGGUACCUGAAGAAUAAGCACCGGCUAACUACGUGCCAGCAGCCGCGGUAAUACGUAGGGUGCGAGCGUUAAUCGGAAUUACUGGGCGUAAAGCGGGCGCAGACGGUUACUUAAGCAGGAUGUGAAAUCCCCGGGCUCAACCUGGGAACUGCGUUCUGAACUGGGUGACUAGAGUGUGUCAGAGGGAGGUAGAAUUCCACGUGUAGCAGUGAAAUGCGUAGAGAUGUGGAGGAAUACCGAUGGCGAAGGCAGCCUCCUGGGAUAACACUGACGUUCAUGCUCGAAAGCGUGGGUAGCAAACAGGAUUAGAUACCCUGGUAGUCCACGCCCUAAACGAUGUCAAUUAGCUGUUGGGCAACUUGAUUGCUUAGUAGCGUAGCUAACGCGUGAAAUUGACCGCCUGGGGAGUACGGUCGCAAGAUUAAAACUCAAAGGAAUUGACGGA